rnacentral:lncRNA from 1 species
CUGAGCCUGCUGGUCUUCAAAGGCUCGGUCUUGAUCACCAACGUACGGCUCACCGUCUAUUCCCAAACAUCAACCAACAACACACAAUCCAAUGUAGACAAUCAUACAUAAAGCAACAAGCUAUAAUUAGAACAUUACACCAAACAGUGGUAAAACAAAUAUAAAAGUUUAUGAAAAUAUUCUAAGCAGCGCUACGAUCACACAAACGUAAAGUUCAC